rnacentral:rRNA from 1 species
UACGUAGGCAGCAAGCGUUGUUCGGAAUUAUUGGGCGUAAAGGGUGCGUAGGCGGUUUGGUAAGUCUUAUGUGAAAUCUACAGGCUCAACUUGUAGUCUGCAUGAGAAACUGCCGGGCUGAGUAUGGGGAGAGGUGAGUGAAUUCCUGGUGUAGCGGUGAAAUGCGUAGAUAUCAGGAGGAACACCUGUGGCGAAAGCGGCUCACUGGACCAUAACUGACGCUGAUGCACGAAAGCUAGGGGAGCAAACAGG